AACGGGUGGUAAUGCCGGAUGCUCCAGUUGAUCGCAUGGUCUUCUGGGAAAGCCUUUGCGGCAUGGGAUGGGGUCGCGUCCUAUCAGCUUGAUGGCGGGGUAACGGCCCACCAUGGCUUCGACGGGUAGCCGGCCUGAGAGGGCGACCGGCCACAUUGGGACUGAGAUACGGCCCAGACUCCUACGGGAGGCAGCAGUGGGGAAUAUUGCACAAUGGGCGCAAGCCUGAUGCAGCGACGCCGCGUGAGGGAUGGAGGCCUUCGGGUUGUAAACCUCUUUUGUUAGGGAGCAAGGCAUUUUGUGUUGAGUGUACCUUUCGAAUAAGCACCGGCUAACUACGUGCCAGCAGCCGCGGUAAUACGUAGGGUGCAAGCGUUAUCCGGAAUUAUUGGGCGUAAAGGGCUCGUAGGCGGUUCGUCGCGUCCGGUGUGAAAGUCCAUCGCUUAACGGUGGAUCCGCGCCGGGUACGGGCGGGCUUGAGUGCGGUAGGGGAGACUGGAAUUCCCGGUGUAACGGUGGAAUGUGUAGAUAUCGGAAAGAGAACACCA
rnacentral:rRNA from 1 species